UAACAGGUUAAGCUGACGAGUGGCGGACGGGUGAGUAAUGUAUCGGAACGUGCCCAGUCGUGGGGGAUAACUGCUCGAAAGAGCAGCUAAUACCGCAUACGACCUGAGGGUGAAAGCGGGGGACCGUAAGGCCUCGCGCGAUUGGAGCGGCCGAUAUCAGAUUAGCUAGUUGGUGGGGUAAAGGCCUACCAAGGCGACGAUCUGUAGCUGGUCUGAGAGGACGACCAGCCACACUGUAACUGAGACACGGUCCAAACUCCUACGGGAGGCAGCAGUGGGGAAUUUUGGACAAUGGGCGAAAGCCUGAUCCAGCAAUGCCGCGUGUAGGAUGAAGGCCCUCGGGUUGUAAACUACUUUUGUACGGAACGAAAAGACACUCUCUAAUACAGGGGGUCUAUGACGGUACCGUAGCAAUAAGCACCGGCUAACUACGUGCCAGCAGCCGCGGUAAUACGUAUGGUG
rnacentral:rRNA from 1 species